rfam:Schistosoma haematobium scaffold1960_5, whole genome shotgun sequence.
AGCCUCCUGAAUUCGUGCUGAGAUUAUGUUAGGCACCAGACCAUCAGGAACGAUGAGACUCCCAAGAUAGGUGAGGCG